rnacentral:lncRNA from 1 species
UAGAGUUUCAAAAACUAUGUUAAAUGUAAGUGGUGAAAGACGGCAAUCCUGUUGUGUUCCAGUUUUUAGAGGGAAUGCUUUCAAUUUUUCUCCAUUUAGAAUGAUGUUGGCCUUGGCCUUAGCAUAGAUAACUUUUACAAUGUUGAGAUGUUUCCAUUUUCCCUAGUUUUUCUAGUGUUUUGAAAUGAAGGGGUGCUGUAUUUUGUCAAAUGCUUUUUCUGCAUCUGUUAUGAUGAUAUGAUUCUUAUCUUAAGUCUAUUGAUGGGAUGAUGAAUUACAUUUAAUGAUUUCUCUAUGUCGAACCAACCUUGCAUCUCUCAGAUGAACCUCACUUAAUUGUGGUACACUAUUUUUUUUAAAGAGAAAUUAGGAAAACUACUCCAUUUACAAUAGCCUCAAAAAAAAAAAAACUUGGAAAUCAACUUAAUGAAAGAGGUGAAAGAACUCUAUAAUGAAAACUAUAGAACGCUACAGAAAGAAAUUAAAGAAAACCUUACAAGAUGGAAAGAUCUACCUUGUUCUUGGAUAGGCAGAAUUAAUAUUGUAAAAUGACCAUAGUACCAAAAACACUAUGCAGAUUUAAUGCAAUUUCAAUCAAAAUUCCAAUGACAUUCCUCAUAGAAAAAGCUAUCAUGUAAUUCAUCUGGAAAAAUAAGAGACCAGAAUAGCCAAAGCAAUACUUAGUGAGUGAAGCAGGUGGCAUCACAAUACCAGACCUUAAACUAUACUACAGAGCAAUAGUAACAAAAACAUCAUUGUAUUGGCACCAAAAUAGAUUGGUAUACCAAAUGGUACAGAUAGAGGACACAGAGACAAACCCACAUAAAAACAGUUAUCUCAUACUAGACAAAGGCACCAAAAACAUAUACUGGAGAAAAGAUAGCCUCUUCAACAAAUGGUGCUGGGAAAACUGGAAAUUCAUAUGCAUCAAAAUGAAAUUAAGCCCCUAUUUCUCACCAUGCACAAAAUUCAACUCAAAGUGGACAAAGGACCUAGGAAUUAGACCAGAAACCCUAUGCCCCAAAGAAGAAAAAGUAGGCCCAAAUCUUCAUCAUGUUGGAUUAGGCCAUGAGUUCCUGAAUAAGACUCCUAAAGUGCAAGAAAUAAAAUCAAGAAUCAAUAAAUGGGAUGGAUUCAAACUAAAAAGCUUCUUGUCAGCAAAAGAAACAAUCAGUGAGGUAAAGAGAGAGCCUACAGAAUAGGAGGAAAUUUUUACCACACACACAUCAGAGAGAGCACUAAUCUCCAGGUAUAUAAAGAACUCAAAAAACUUAGCACCAAAAACAUAAAUAACCCAAUCAAUAAAUGGGCUAAGAAACUGAACAGACAUUUCUCAGAAGAUAUACUGUCAGUUAACAAACAUAUGAAAAAUAUUCAACAUCUCUAGCAAUUAGUGAAAUGCAAAUCAAAACUAAGAUUUCAUCUCACUCCAGUCAGAAAGCCAGUUAUUAAGAAUACAGGUAACAAUAAGUGUUGGUAAGGAUGUGGGGGAAAAAGCACACUCGUACAUUGCUGGUGAGACUGCAAAGUAUUGCAACCAAUCUGGGAAGCAGUAUGGAGAUUCCUUAGAAAACUUAGAAUGGAACCAUCAUUUGACCCAGCUAUCCCACUCCUGGGUUUAUACCCAAAGGACUGAAAAUCAACAUACUACAGUGACGUAGCCACAUCAAUGUUUAUAACAGCACAAUUCACAAUAACUAAAUUGUGGAACCAACCUAGAUGCCCUUCAAUAGAUAAAUGGAUUAAGAAAGUUGGUAUAUAUACACAAUGGAAUACUACUCAGUGUUAAGAGAGAAUAAAACCAUGGCAUUUGCAGGUAAAUGGAUGGAGUUGAAGAAUAUCAUGCUAAGUGAAGCCAAGCCCACAAAACCAAUGUUUUCUCUGAUAAGUGGAUGCUGAUCCAUAAUGCGUGG